UUGGGAUAGCGCAAGUGAGCUGAACUUCUGCGCUGGUGUAGUGUACUAUCCUCAAUUUAAUACUUUAUUUCUGAAAUUAUUUUCUUGGAGGAAAACAGCUCCAGCCGUGUGUGUUUUUACAGAACGCAAUUAAGGAUUGAUGGAUUUGCUCUUCAUCCAGUUAUUAACGGUUUUAUUAGGAAGUUGAGAUGUUUACAGAGCUAUCCAGGCUUUCCAGCGGCAUCAGAACUUGUGAUUUCUGAAAGCAGGUAAGCCACUGACUAACGCACAUUGCGCCUAUUCUCCACUCCACUGUGCGUGUGACAGCGGCUAACCAGCUUUUGGAUGUGUGCCUGACUUCAGCGGCCGUGGGAACGUCCCACCGGAGACUCCUGAGCGGGUCAAGGCGGAUACGGUCACUGGAGGGACGCUUUCGGGUCCCCCUGACCCUCCACGAGUCUUUUUGUUCCCGUAGCUCAACUGGUAAAGCCCUGCACAUUGAAAACCAGAGGUUGUGUGUUCGAUUCCCAUGCGGAACGUGUGCUGGAGAAA